rfam:Trichobilharzia regenti genome assembly, scaffold: TRE_scaffold0109162
GUACUGCCGAAGAGUCCCAAACUAGGACGAAACAGUUGUCCAGUAC